GGUCAAAAUGAAAACUCAGCCCCCGUGGCAGAAAAAUAAAGUGGCCUUGUGCACAGUGACUGACCGUGCUAGCUACAAUUGUGCAGUCAGGGAUACUCCAACAGGAAAUUCAGGCUUGUGGAACUUCCGAAGGCCGAAAGGCAUCUAUCCAUUUGCCAGUGACGGUGGAGCACAGUGAAGGACUUAUCAAGGCACCUUUUAAUCUUUGUGAAAAACCCCAAACAGAAGUGUCUUCAGUUUUCCUCUGGGGUAUCCUCGGUCUUAUGAAGAAGUUUGCAGGGCAGCUUGGCUGAGCAACAUGCUGGACAAUCCAGAGCUUCGGGAGGUGGAGCGAGAAUCUUCCAUUCUUUCUUCUUCUGGUCCAACAGGGACUGGAAAGUAGCCAUAAUUUUCGGCCCAGGACAAUCGGCUAUCCUACUGUCAUCCAUCCUGUU